AAGAUGUAGCCUUUGAUGUGGACAUGAGACAGCUGCUGCUUAGGAAUAGAAGGCUUAGUGCUUCAGACUCAUGAGAGUGGAGGUCUCAUGAUGAGGAGCUUCUUGGAAAUGGAAGUCUGUUGGAUGAGUCGGAAUGAAGAAGAGUCACAAAUUUAAGAAGUUGGCUCAAGUUUUCAUUGCAGGCAUUGGAUGUUUCUGAGACCAAGCCCUGUGAGAAGAGCAUGGGCAAAGAAGAGGGAAAUGUAGAUCCAGGCUUUAUAGGAGGAAGCAGGGACUUCAGGAUCUGAGAGAGGACGUUCCACAUACGCACAUAACUUUUUUUUUGUUCUCCUUCAUUCAUGAACUAUAACACUUCUUGUUUCUCUGUUCUGGAAAUUUUAAAAAAAUAGAACUCAUAUCUGUGUCUUUAAUACAAUCCUGACUUUCCUUUGAAUUCACUCUCAGAAAAAGUAUGAGUUCACUGCACUUAGAUUUUUCUUGAUGAUUGGAUAGCUGCUUCUUUGUAUUUUGGAAACAGAUUUUCUUUUUAUAGGAACAUAGGAAGUUCCUAGAGAAGUUUUCAGCAUGUAUCAGUUACAGAACAUGGCAUAGCUGGGCUUUGCUUAUAUUUAACAAAGCAACUUGUAAUACAAAAUAUUAUAAAUGUGCAUUUAAAUCCAAGGAAAAAACUCCAGGCCCCUCUUGUUCUAUUUGCCCCAUGGUAUAUUUACUUUAUAAAAUGUUCCUGUGCUGUACUCUAGGUGCAUGUCAAUAUCAAAUAAACUUUAAAAAAAUUGAA